rnacentral:ncRNA from 1 species
GCAACCUCCAACUGGCGCAGCAGAGUGUGGUGGUGUUCCGCUCGCUGCUGGGCAUUAGCUGGAUGUGGUUCUUUGGCGCGAUGUUUCUGUCGCAGUUUCCGAGCCUGGCCAAAGAGGUGCUG